UUGUGGGGUCGGGUGCGAGGACCACCCAGAAGGAAGGGUGCAAACCCCAUCCCCGUCCCCCCCACCGGGGCAGCGCACCCCCGGCGCCCACCCCCGGAGCCGAGGCUCCCCUCGCAGGCGGCGUGGGUGCGUCCUGGAUGGCUGGGGCCGCUAUCGCUGGCUGCGCGGGACCCCUCGCUGCCCCGACCCAGCCCGACGGGCAGAGCCCCGGCCCCCGGGGCUGAGCGAGCCGCCGCUGCCGCCGCGCCCGAGGAGCUGCCGGGCCCCGCGGCGCGGCGGAGCGGGACGCGCGGCGGUGGCGCAGGCGAGCCCAGCCGGGGCCGCCGGUAUUUAGGGCGGGCGCUGCCGGAGCCGGGCGAGAGCGGGCGGGUAGCUGGACGGCGGGGACGGCAGAUCCUGAUGGUCUCAGAGUAGCAUCUUCACCAGACAUCACUCAUCCAUUUUUCCUGAAAUCACAGAUGCUCAGUCUCUGUUGCAGCUGAUAGUCACUCCCUUUAUCACACUUCUGGAGGCCUGGGAGGAGAAAAAAACUUGAACACUUGUAACACAGGUAUCUUCUCGGGAACAGUGCCCAAAGCUGAACACAGGGCUCCCAUUUGGCCUCGUCCAAGACUCUAUCAUUUCUGUGGAUCUCAUUUUCCAGUGCAAUACACUAUGGCAUUUCCUCGUUUUUCUCCCAGAAGCUGCAUCCUGAUUUGAUUCUGAUCUGUGGACUGGCAGAUUCCUGUAUUUUCUUCUAAAUGUAUUUCAUGGUGUUUGAACAUGGGUUCUUGUCUCCAGGGUAUCACGACAUAUUGCACAUCUCUUCACCUCCUGGACUCUACCAGGAACCACUGAAUGUGUGGACACAAGAACUGACCAGAAGAUCCCUCCCCUGUGCAGCCUUCAGUACUGUUGGAAGUGUAUAAACGAGGGACAUGGUUAGCCCAGAUCACAUCCAGGGUGGAGAGGGACAGUUGCAGAGGGCAGUCCUGGUCUCUGGUGGUCCUGCAGUUAGGAUAUUGAUUGACAGCUGUUUGAAACAAUAGGACUAACGGGCUUGUUCAUAUACAGAUUUUCUCCUGUGUGGGAUGUGUGAUCAGCACUGUGUUCAGAUCCCCUUAACCAGUCUAUUCUUCCUCUUUUGAGAGAAUCACCACUCCACAAGUCAUUACAAUCAUUCACCAUGCGCAUGGUCGGGAACAUCUUAGUACUUGGAACAUGCUGUGAGCUUCAGUGCCAACGCAUUGAAUUCUGACUUCCAUUGCCAUUGAACACCUGACUUCAGCAUUUGAAGACGAACGUUGAAAAGAAAACCUGAAUGUCUGAAGGAAUAAAUGAAAAUGGAGCUCUGCACUUUUCAAUAAGAGAUCUUAAUUUACAAAUCUGGAGAAAUUAUGUUUACAGAAGGAAUCCAAACAGUAUUGUUUUCUAUCUUGGGUACUCUACUAAUGAAGUGUCCCUUAUAAAUAUCAAAAAUGUGACAUUCAGCUAUUAGAGAGGAAGGGAAAAUACUCUUGAGGAUAGCUUUGUCCCAAGCACAGGGGCAUCAAUUACAUGCCCAGAUGUUUCUUUUUCAGCCUCUCACUCUUCAGUAUUGAUUUAUGCAUCAGUUUUGCAGAUUAGUUCAGAAAGGAGGUAUGAAUAAAAGACAAUAAAAAAUGAUUUAGUCACCUGCAAGAUGAAAAUGAAAAACAUCUAAAUUCCCAGCACUUAUAGUACCACUUGUAUUGACAUACACCAGAAUCAUGUCUGGAUGAUUAUAUUAACAUUUUGCUUUAAAAAUGAUGUCAUUGAUGUGAUGGAAAAUCUAGCUUAGGAGAGUACCUCAUCUACUGUGUAAGCUGAAGUUUUCAACAAGUUCAUAUUUUUUCAGUGUUGGACUCCAGUAUGAAAAGUUCUACUUUAGCAAAAAAGUAAGCAUCUUUCUUCAUUGUCCCAGAAAGAUUACACUGGAAAGUGAAAAGUGAAAGCAGAGCAAAGGAUGACUCAGUAUAACCAUUCAGCAGAGCUGUCUCUCCAGAGCUCAGCAAAUAAGUCAUUAAAUUUCACUGAAACGCCCCUGGCUUUGGAUGAAAGGACACUAUUAGGGCUGAAGAUUUCACUGUCAGUCCUUCUGUCUGUUAUAACUUUGGCAACAAUCCUUGCAAACAUUUUUGUUGUUAUUACAAUUUUUCUGACUAGAAAGCUCCACACACCUGCAAAUUACCUCAUUGGCUCUUUGGCAGUGACUGACCUUUUAGUGUCUGUCCUAGUAAUGCCCAUCAGUAUUGCUUACACUGUCACCCACACAUGGGCCUUUGGCCAAGUGUUGUGUGAUAUCUGGUUAUCAUCAGACAUCACAUGCUGCACAGCCUCAAUCCUACACCUCUGUGUUAUUGCACUGGACAGAUACUGGGCUAUCACAGAUGCUCUGCAAUAUGCCAAACGCCGGACCGCUGGCCGAGCAGCACUCAUGAUUGCCGUGGUUUGGAUGAUCUCUAUUAGUAUUUCUGUGCCACCAUUUUUCUGGAGACAAGUGAAAGCUCAUGAAGAAAUUGCAAAGUGUACUGUGAACACAGAUCAAAUUUUCUACACAAUUUAUUCCACUUGUGGAGCUUUCUAUAUCCCAACUGUGCUCCUCCUGAUACUGUAUGGUAGAAUUUAUGUAGCAGCUCGAUCCAGGAUUCUGAAGCCACCCUCAUUAUAUGGGAAACGUUUUACUACUGCACACCUGAUCACCGGCUCUGCUGGGUCUUCCCUCUGCUCCAUUAAUGCUAGCCUUCAUGAAGGGCAUUCCCAUUCAGGUGGAUCCCCAAUAUUUAUCAAUCAUGUUAAAAUAAAACUUGCAGAUAGUGUCCUGGAAAGGAAAAGAAUUUCUGCUGCAAGAGAAAGGAAAGCCACCAAAACUUUAGGCAUUAUUCUGGGAGCUUUCAUUUUCUGCUGGCUGCCUUUUUUUGUCAUGUCCCUAGUCCUACCAAUCUGCCAAGAUGCUUGUUGGUUUCAUCCCAUCCUUCUGGACUUUUUUACAUGGCUAGGUUACUUAAACUCAUUGAUCAAUCCAGUCAUUUAUACAGCUUUUAAUGAAGAAUUUAAACAGGCUUUCCAAAAACUAAUACAUUUCAAAAAGUGUUCAUCUUGAAACUCCCCUGUUGUGUUACUGACCCUUGUGCAAUCUUGCAGCCUACCUGGAAAUUUUCUGUGCUUUUAUUCCUAGGGUAGGAGUAGUAAUUGCCAUCUCUGCUGCUACCUUGUGCUGUGCAUGUAACUGGGAACUUCUUGCCAAUUUGGUACUUUCUGUCUGGAAUUCUGUGUCCCAGAACAGAACUUGUCUGUGGUCUCUGCAGUGAUCAUUUGUGUAUGUAAGAUCAACACAUGAAGUAAGCUUUGUAACAAGUGAAGGAGCGUGAACCAGAGAGCUGAGUUUAUAUGAUAUGACACAUAUUAUCCAGUUCUGCCAUGUCUUUGUAACCUGAUGGGAGGAAAAUCUGUGCAUAUUUGCAGGACGUCAGUAUUUCUUCUGUAUAUUAUUACCAAUUUAUGUAGGCUGACAAAGUUUCUGGAGAACAGGAUCUGAUGUCUACAUUUUCUAUGGCAGGUGUCCUAUCCAUUUGAAAUUGAUAAAACCUGUAACUUUUUCAGAAGUUGUAUGACACAGCCUGACUAUAAGCAGCAGGGCACAGAAGGCAUAGUGCAUAUGUAAGUUCUGUGGAUAUUUCACGAAUACUUUAUUUAUUUGAAACAAUUUUUACACAUUUUAUCAUGAAUAGAAUAGCCAGUGCAGGAAUACUAUGAAAUAAAUAGCAUGAAAAUUAUUGAAAAGUA